rnacentral:lncRNA from 1 species
CUUCUUCCUGCUCUCACUGAAGCCCAAAGGCCUGCUCUUCCAGCUGAGGUGACCCAGGGAGGACAGAGAAGUUGGCAUGGGGAGAGUUUUGGUCAGUUCCCUGAGCGAAAGCCAUGCACUGACGGUGCCCACCGUUGUGACCACAGGCGGAGCAUUGCCAGAACAGAGGAGAGUGUACUACUACAUGGAAUUACUUUGUGUGUUGGUGUCCUGUUGCUUUCACCGGGAAGACCUGCGAGACAUGUGUGUGGUGUGUCAAAGACCAAUGGUGGCCAUUGUGUGGACCUGGCUGACGGAUAUGAGUGUGUGACCAACGCUGCCUUCGAGAUCAACCCAGUGCAACUCAGUGCAGAGGGUUCCCUGGGCUUGCCGCUGACCCAAGUGUACCUG